CUCAGUUGUCAAAUAAGCUGAAUCAGUCAAUUCAGAAUCUUGCAGAAAAAGAUAAGAAAUCUGCGGACCUUAACAUUAGUUAUGGAAACUUCACUAAUGAACUGAAAGAAAUCAAGGGAAAUUUUUACAAACUCAUCAGCAACAUUCAAUCUGUGUGUGAAGGAAAAGAUCUUCCUGAUUUAAAAAUACCUGAUACUCUGUUGUCAAGAAGCCUGUAUCAGUCUGUUCAGAAUCUUGCAGAAAAAGAUAAGAAAUGCUUGGACCUUAGGCUUAGUAAUGGGAACCUCAAUAAAGAACUGCAAGAAAACAAGAGAAAUUUUGCCAAACUUGUCAAUAACAUUCAAUCUGUGUGUGAAGGAAAAGAACCUCCUGAUUUAAGAAUACAUGAUACUUUGUUGUCAAGUAACCUGCAUCAGUCUAUUCAGAAUCUUGCAAAAAUAGGUAAGAAAUGUG